UACGUAGGAUGCUAGCGUUGUUCGGAAUUACUGGGCGUAAAGCGCGCGUAGGCGGCUUUGUAAGUUAGAGGUGAAAGCCCGAAGCUCAACUUCGGAAUUGCCUUUAAGACUGCAUCGCUAGAAUUGUGGAGAGGUAAGUGGAAUUCCGAGUGUAGAGGUGAAAUUCGUAGAUAUUCGGAAGAACACCAGUGGCGAAGGCGACUUACUGGACACAUAUUGACGCUGAGGUGCGAAAGCGUGGGGAGCAAACAGG
rnacentral:rRNA from 1 species